rnacentral:sRNA from 1 species
CUCCUGGCCUCAAGCGAACCUUACACUUUGGCCUCCCAAAGUGCUGGGAUUAUAGGUGCAUGCCGCUGCACCUGGCACUUCUGAGCAGUGCUUGGAAGCCGCCUCCUGACGGGGGCUGGGGGUCAGAGUGGCCAGCUGAAUGCUGGGCCAUCAGGGUGAGGGGCGUCUUCUCCUCGUCCAUUGCCUGUUCUCCCAGGGCAGGUGGAAGGGGAAGGCCCUGCAUUGGGGUGGUGUGAAACAAGAUGAGAUGGUAAGAUCUGCUUUCACUUUAAAGGAACAUUUCUGGUUGUUGCUUGGAAAGAAGUGUCAGGGGCAAGAAUGCUGCAGGAGGGCUGGCCUGGAGGACAGGGUGGGACUGCGGGCUGGCUGCACGGGGGCAGGAGCCUGCGCUUGCGUCAGAGGUUCCUGAGAGGUUCGGGCUCUGGGGCAGAGGCCUGAGCAAGGGGACCUUGCUGGGGUGUCUCUGUCUUAGCCACGCUCGGUAUUUCUGGGUCCUGUGACCCACGUGUGAGCAGCCUAUGGUGCUGGUGGCACAGGGGAGGAAACCAAGGCAGGGAGUCUGUGGGGGCUGCUUGGCAGGGGACAGGCAGCUCCUGUGCUCACUGCUGUCCCACACCUGCAUGGAAACACAAACCCCGCCACGGAGCCCCCUCUCAUCUCUACAGGGCCUCCAGAGCGCCAUGUGCAAGGACUUCAUGGGCGGGGUGGGGUGGGGUCAGGAGUCUGCUGUGGGCUGGCCAGGCCCUGGCCCUCCCUGUCCCACCCUGCGCUGCCUCCAUGCACCUCUCAGGGCUGUCAUGGCUUUUCCUGUGGCUUCUGACAGGUAGAGUCAGCGAUGACGGCUUCAUAGCCAUUAAGCUCACGGCACUGGGGAGACCCCAGUUUCUGGUAAGUGCUAGAACCUUCCACCUGCAGAGUCUGGUGCUGUGCGAGAUCUCAGGGCAGCUGUGGGCAUCCACCAAAAACACAGGUGCCCAUGCCUUAGAGGCCUGAGCUGGCCACAGGGGCUGUGUGGGGGACUGGGUUGGGCAGGGGCGUGUGCAGAUGGCAUUCAGGCCUGCGUUUGCAGCUGCAGUUCUCAGAGGUGCUGGCCAAGUGGAGGUGCUUCUUUCACCAAAUGGCUGUGGAGCAAGGGCAGGCGGGCCUGGCUGCCAUGGACACCAAGCUGGAGGUGGCGGUGCUGCAGGAAAGUGUCGCAAAGAUGGGCAUCGCAUCCAGGGCUGAGAUUGAGGACUGGUUCACGGCAGAGACCCUGGGAGUGUCUGGCACCGUGGACCUGCUGGACUGGAGCAGCCUCAUCGACAGCAGGACCAAGCUGUCCAAGCACCUGGUAGUCCCCAACGCACAGACAGGACAGCUGGAGCCCCUGCUGUCCCGGUUCACUGAGGAGGAGGAGCUACAGAUGACGAGGAUGCUACAGCGGAUGGAUGUCCUGGCCAAGUUGCUCCCACUCUCCCACCCCCUGCGCCUCUCAGAAAGCCACAGAGAUGGGCGUGCGGCUGAUGGUGGAUGCCGAGCAGACCUACUUCCAGCCGGCCAUCAGCCGCCUGACGCUGGAGAUGCAGCGGAAGUUCAAUGUGGAGAAGCCGCUCAUCUUCAACACAUACCAGUGCUACCUCAAGGAUGCCUAUGACAAUGUGACCCUGGACGUGGAGCUGGCUCGCCGUGAGGGCUGGUGUUUUGGGGCCAAGCUGGUGCGGGGCGCAUACCUGGCCCAGGAGCGAGCCCGUGCGGCAGAGAUUGGCUAUGAGGACCCCAUCAACCCCACGUACGAGGCCACCAACGCCAUGUACCACAGGUGCCUGGACUACGUGCUGGAGGAGCUGAAGCACAACGCCAAGGCCAAGGUGAUGGUGGCCUCCCACAAUGAGGACACAGUGCGCUUCGCACUGCGCAGGAUGGAGGAGCUGGGCCUGCAUCCUGCUGACCACCAGGUGUACUUUGGACAGCUGCUAGGCAUGUGUGACCAGAUCAGCUUCCCGCUGGGUGAGUGGGGCCCUCCCUGGUGCGAUGGGGUACGGUGCUGGGCCUGGGCCUCAUGGUGUAUCUGCCCCCAUGCAGGCCAGGCCGGCUACCCCGUGUACAAGUACGUGCCCUAUGGCCCCGUGAUGGAGGUGCUGCCCUACUUGUCCCGCCGUGCCCUGGAGAACAGCAGCCUCAUGAAGGGCACCCAUCGGGAGCGGCAGCUGCUGUGGCUGGAGCUCUUGAGGCGGCUCCGAACUGGCAGCCUCUUCCAUCGCCCUGCCUAGCACCCGCCAGCCCACCCUCAGCCUCCAGCACCCCCGGCCCCCACCCAGGCCAUCACCACAACUGCAGCCAACCCCAUCCUCACACAGAUUCACCUUUUUUCACCCCACACUUGCAGAGCUGCUGGAGGUGGAGUCAGGUGCCUCCCAGCCCUGCCAAUGGUGGGGGCACUCAGGUGUGGGCUGACCCUGAUACCUGCCUGGGAUAGCCGCUGGUAACUGUUAGGAACUUUCCUCGGAUGUGUGGGCCCAAGGCCCCCACCUCUGUGACCCCCAUGUCCUUGGACCUAGAGGAUUGUCCACCUUCUGCCAAGGCCAGCCCACACAGCCCGAGCCCCUCGGGGAGCAGUGGCCGGGCUGGGGAGGCCUGCCUGGUCAAUAAACCACUGUUCCUGC